UACGAAGGGGGCUAGCGUUGCUCGGAAUCACUGGGCGUAAAGGGUGCGUAGGCGGAUUUCUAAGUCAGGGGUGAAAGCCUGAGGCUCAACCUCAGAACUGCCUUUGAUACUGGAAGUCUUGAGACCGGAAGAGGUAAGUGGAACUGCGAGUGUAGAGGUGAAAUUCGUAGAUAUUCGCAAGAACACCAGUGGCGAAGGCGGCUCACUGGCCCGGUACUGACGCUGAGGUGCGAAAGCGUGGGGAGCAAACAGG
rnacentral:rRNA from 1 species